rnacentral:rRNA from 1 species
GUUAUAUGGUCAAGCGAAUAAGCGCACACGGUGGAUGCCUUGGCGGUCAGAGGCGAUGAAGGACGUGGCAGCCUGCGAAAAGUAUCGGGGAGCUGGCAACAAGCUUUGAUCCGGUAAUGUCCGAAUGGGGAAACCCACCCGCUUGCGGGUAUCCUGCAGUGAAUACAUAGCUGCUGGAAGCGAACCUGGUGAACUGAAAUAUCUAAGUAACCAGAGGAAAAGAAAUCAACCGAGAUUCCGUAAGUAGCGACGAGCGAACGCGGACUAGCCCUUAAGCUGAUUUGGUUCUAGGAAAAUGCUCUGGAAAGAGCAGCCAUAGAAGGUGAUAGCCCUGUAUCUGAAAGGGCCAUUUCAGUGAAGACGAGUAGGGCGGGGCACGUGAAACCCUGUCUGAACAUGGGGGGACCAUCCUCCAAGGCUAAAUACUACUGACCGACCGAUAGUGAACCAGUACCGUGAGGGAAAGGCGAAAAGAACCCCGGAGAGGGGAGUGAAAUAGAACCUGAAACCGUGUGCGUACAAGCAGUAGGAGCUCCGCAAGGAGUGACUGCGUACCUUUUGUAUAAUGGGUCAGCGACUUACUGUUCGUGGCAAGCUUAACCGUAUAGGGGAGGCGAAGGGAAACCGAGUCUGAUAAGGGCGCAUAGUCGCGGGCAGUAGACCCGAAACCGGGUGAUCUAGUCAUGCCCAGGGUGAAGGUGCGGUAACACGCACUGGAGGCCCGAACCCACUCCCGUUGCAAAGGUAGGGGAUGAGGUGUGAUUAGGAGUGAAAAGCUAAUCGAACCCGGAGAUAGCUGGUUCUCCUCGAAAGCUAUUUAGGUAGCGCCUCAUAUGUAUCCUCUCGGGGGUAGAGCACUGUUAUGGCUAGGGGGUCAUCGCGACUUACCAAACCAUUGCAAACUCCGAAUACCGAGACGGACUGUAUGGGAGACACACGGCGGGUGCUAACGUCCGUCGUGAAAAGGGAAACAACCCAGACCCACAGCUAAGGUCCCAAAUUCACUGCUAAGUGGAAAACCAUGUGGAAAGGCACAGACAGCCAGGAGGUUGGCUUAGAAGCAGCCACCCUUUAAAGAAAGCGUAAUAGCUCACUGGUCGAGUCGGUCUGCGGGGAAGAUUUAACGGGGCUAAGCAGUGAACCGAAGCUUGGGGUGCAUAACUUUGUUAUGCGCGGUAGAGGAGCGUUCCGUAAGCCGUUGAAGGUGGAUUGAGAAGUCUGCUGGAGGUAUCGGAAGUGCGAAUGCUGACAUGAGUAACGAUAAUGCGGGUGAAAAACCCGCACGCCGAAAGCCCAAGGUUUCCUUGCGCAACGUUAAUCGGCGCAGGGUGAGUCGGCCCCUAAGGCGAGGACGAAAGUCGUAGUCGAUGGGAAGCAGGUUAAUAUUCCUGCACCUCGCGUAAGUGCGAUGGAGGGACGGAGAAGGUUAGGUGUACCAGGCGUUGGUUGUCCUGGGGAAAGGCGGUAGGUUUGGAUCUUUGGCAAAUCCGGGAUCCUUUAAGACCGAGCACCGAGACGAGCCUUUAAGGCGAAGUCACUGAUACCACGCUUCCAGGAAAAGCUCCUAAGCUUCAGCUUACGCAGACCGUACCGUAAACCGACACAGGUGGGUAGGAUGAGAAUUCUCAGGCGCUUGAGAGAACUCGGGUGAAGGAACUAGGCAACAUGGCACCGUAACUUCGGGAGAAGGUGCACCCUUUUUGGUGGCUCGUGCGAGCUAUAGCUGAAGAGGGUCGCAGUAACCAGGCCGCUGCGACUGUUUAUCAAAAACACAGCACUCUGCAAACACGAAAGUGGACGUAUAGGGUGUGACGCCUGCCCGGUGCUGGAAGGUUAAUUGAUGGGGUCAGCCGCAAGGCGAAGCUCUUGAUCGAAGCCCCAGUAAACGGCGGCCGUAACUAUAACGGUCCUAAGGUAGCGAAAUUCCUUGUCGGGUAAGUUCCGACCUGCACGAAUGGCGUAACGACAGCGGCGCUGUCUCCACCCGAGACUCAGUGAAAUUGAAAUCGCUGUGAAGAUGCAGCGUUCCCGUGGCAAGACGGAAAGACCCCGUGAACCUUUACUAUAGCUUUACACUGAACGUUGAGUUCGUCUGUGUAGGAUAGGUGGGAGGCUAUGAAACCAUGGCGCUAGCUGUGGCGGAGCCAUCCUUGAAAUACCACCCUGUCGUGCUUGACGUUCUAACCUGGGCCCAUUAUCUGGGUCGGGGACCGUGUAUGGUGGGUAGUUUGACUGGGGCGGUCUCCUCCUAAAGAGUAACGGAGGAGCUCGAAGGUACGCUCAGCGCGGUCGGACAUCGCGCACUGUGUGCAAAGGCAUAAGCGUGCUUGACUGCAAGAUCGACGGAUCAAGCAGGUAGGAAACUAGGACUUAGUGAUCCGGUGGUUCUGUAUGGAAGGGCCAUCGCUCAACGGAUAAAAGGUACUCCGGGGAUAACAGGCUGAUACCGCCCAAGAGUUCAUAUCGACGGCGGUGUUUGGCACCUCGAUGUCGGCUCAUCACAUCCUGGGGCUGUAGUCGGUCCCAAGGGUAUGGCUGUUCGCCAUUUAAAGUGGUACGCGAGCUGGGUUCAGAACGUCGUGAGACAGUUCGGUCCCUAUCUGCCAUGGGCGUUGGAGAUUUGAGAGGGGCUGCUCCUAGUACGAGAGGACCGGAGUGGACGAACCUCUGGUGUUCCGGUUGUCACGCCAGUGGCAUUGCCGGGUAGCUAUGUUCGGAAGCGAUAACCGCUGAAAGCAUCUAAGCGGGAAGCGCGCCUCAAGAUGAGAUCUCCCGGGGCACAAGCCCCCUGAAGGAACCAUGUAGACUACGUGGUUGAUAGGUCAGGUGUGUAAGUACAGCAAUGUAUUGAGCUAACUGAUACUAAUGAUCCGUGCGGCUUGACCAUAUAACCU